UCGCGAAUCCUCGCGAACUUGUGCAUCUCCUUCGCCUCUCCGCCACCCUCUGCGGCUCUGCCUCGCCUGCGCGCAGCUUGCAGCAUGACCCGCCGCCCUCCGCCGGCCGCUCGACCGCCUGCCGGCUUCCGCAUCGGAGGCCACGGUCCUCGUCCGCGUGGCCGCGCUCCCCAAUUGAUUCUCCCGAGAUCCCUUCCGUCCUCCCGGCCUCCCUCCUCGGCUCCUCCCCUCAGCUGUCGUACCGCGCCGCCCGCAUCCAUAUCCUCCGGCCAGUGGACGGAGACAAUACAAAGCCCGUGUGAGGCCGAGCCAUUUGCCGCCUGCUGCGCCGCCCACACCUCCCUCUGCAGUCUGCAUGGCAUCAUUGGCAUGCGGUUGCUAUCCUCGCCCUGGGCUAAUCUGGCAGCACUCCUCGACCGCCACGAGCAAGGGCCCCUCUAAUUCCCGCACCACCGAGGUCCACAUCGUCGGUCGUCGGUAAGGCGCUUCUUCUUUCUUCCUCAACUGAUGCAGCACAGCUACCCCUCCUUCCCUCUCUCGUACAAAGCAGAUCAGCAGGGGAGCUACAGCUCCGUUCCAAGCAAUCCCAUGGGUGGUCCUUGCCGUUCCUUCUCACCAAACGCAGCACACCUACUGCUCCUACCCUCUCUCGUACAGGCAGAUCGGAAGGGGAAGCUUCAACUCCAUUGAAAGCAAUCCCAUGGGUGGUGCGGUCUCCUCUGUAAUGCCCCUACAUACAUUCUCCUCUCCCUCUUCCUUCAAUAGAUUUUAAGAUCCCGAGAUGUACGGUUUGAGAAUAAGGAUUUUUUUUUUCAAUUGCCAUGGAGCUGAGUGAAAUUUGUGCAAAAUGAGUUAGUUAUGAUACAAAUAGAUGAAUCCCAUUGUUUCAGAGUUCAAACGAUUACCUUUUGAAACCAAUUGUAUAGGUAAAUAUGGGAACACUCAUGGCCUCUUCAUAUGCAGAGGCACCCCCAUCCCCACCCAAAUCAAUAUUCAGGAUUUUAAUGCAUGUGCUACUUUAGAGACGAAAAUAAUCCAACCUUUUGGCUUCAUAUAUUCUCAUAUACCAUCAUUCAUGAAAUGGGAACAUUCAUGUAUAUAUUUUUUUAGAAUUGGGAAUGUAUAUUAAAUAUAUUCCAGCUUCUGUAUCGAUUGAUACAUAUAGCUGUUCAAAACCACAAUCCACACAUCAAGCGUCUGAGCGAAACAAAACAGAGUAGCAGAAAUAAAAGAGACUAAAAAGUGCUUAGACAUAAGCAAUCCGAUUAAUGAAAGGUCAUCCAUUCGAAGCGAAGAUUUCCAUGGCAGAACACUCAAGUGCGCGACACCCCUCUAACACCAGCGGCCUUUCCUCUUCUUUUUGUAGCAGCGCCCAAAACCGGAUCCAAUAAGUUCCUCUGAACAGCACCUGCAGAGACGAAGAAACUUACGCACAGUUAAAAGUAAUGUCAUUUCGAGUUAGCCAGAUCGCCCAUAAGAUUGCACAUGCUCCCACUAAGGCCUGAUAUUUACGUUGUUUUCUCAGCCCGUUUAACCAGUAAGUGAACUUAUGAUUCACAUUUAACGGCAUAGGUAUAUUAAAAACAACACUUAUCAGUCUCCAUAAGAAUUUAGCGUUGUGGCAAUCGAAAAAAAGGUGUUGUAUUGUUUCAUUAAGAUUACAGUAACAACAUUUUAAACUCCCUUUCCAUCGCCGUCUAGCUAAAUUAUCCUUAGUAUGUUCAAAGUUGGUUCAAGAAAUGUAAAUUCAUGAAAUGCGAACAAUAUUUGUGAGGCUUGCAUAUAUAAACCAUGUAACUUGAUAUUACGCUCCAAACACCUAACUUGCCAAUUACAGAAACAUGUGUCUUUGUUCCAAAUAGAAAAAAUUGCAUUUGUCAAGUUUAUGAUAACCAGGGAACUAUGAAUUAAGCUCCGUAUUCCGUAGCCAAAUAAUGAUACAUCAAGUACAAAAAGAAGGUUGCAUAUUUAAGUAUAAUUCAUCUUUACGAUCUUAUAUAAAGACCCACGUACAAAUUCAAUGUGUAACUGAAGAGAUCCUUUUCCUCCACCUUAAUAUCUCUUCUCAAACUUUUGAAGUAGAGUUCAAAGCCUAAACAUUUUAUUUGAACUGAAGAGGGCAUCUACAUUGGCACUUUCAGUCUUACAGCAUGAAGUAUGAUUCCUUUCACUUGCGAUAGAAAGUGUUGAAUCUCAUUCAGAUGUUACAUAUGCAUCGCUGUGCUUUUGGACUUCUGUGUAACAUCAACGAUACACAUUUCAACUACAAGCAAUUGCUUGCCUCCAAAACAAUAUUGAUUAUUGUUGUCUUGUGAUUGGUUAACCAUGUUCUACAUAAGUUCAGACUUCUGCUUGUCGUGCAGAAUGGCAAAGUCAUUCCACUUCUGAACAAAUGGCUGUGGACAAAGAACAGCAAUUGCUGCUGACGGUGAGGGCAUACAAAACCAUUGAGUCCUAACAACCUACUUCUCACUGUUGCGCCAACAGACACAGUAUCAGAACAUCAAAGAAGAUUCUGAAUUAGACUUUAUCCACACCUUAUUUAAAAAAAUGUCUCAUCCUGAAUUUAAUAAGUACCAACAAUUAUUAUAUGACACCUUAUUAUAUCACACCCUUACAAUAUAUAUACAGAGAGAAUCCAACCGCUGUUUCCUUUGCUCUGUUAUAUUCUUACAUUCCAUAUCCAGGGUCACUAUAUGUAAACUGAAAUCACACCAGAUACUACAUGAAAAAAAUGGUCUAUGCUUCCAGUGAACGCACAUGGCACAAUGAUACUUCAAUUCUUUUUAUGAUACUGCCUUGAUCUUGACGUUUGCAGAUUCUGUGCUCCCCUUACAUGUGUGCUCCUCCACCUGGUGUCGUUGUGCCUGAGGAUGCCAAACACUUGAGCCUCCAGAACCAUGGGCAUGGGCGCCAGCGAACACGACCAGUGACGAGCAAGUCAGUCCGCCGCACCAGGACCCAUUGCAUGAUUAUAUUCUCUGAAAGAUUUUCAUGCAUCAGUAGUUCAGACCUCCAGCGUAUUUAUUCAUUUAUUUUGUAAAAGGUGACCUUGAAGUGCUCAUAUGACGUUAAAAUGCCCUUGGACAUCCUAAGCUAAUGUCCGAAUGUACCACCAGAACUGCCCAUGCGAAUGAAUUAGAAAGCAUAACUGUUAGCAACCAUUGAAUUACUUCAAGUACAGAAAAUUACUUGUACAAAAGUUAUGACGGCU